AUUGAACGCUGGCGGCAGGCCUAACACAUGCAAGUCGAACGAGUGGCGGACGGGUGAGUAAUGUCUGGGAAACUGCCCGAUGGAGGGGGAUAACUACUGGAAACGGUAGCUAAUACCGCAUACCAUCGGAUGUGCCCAGAUGGGAUUAGCUUGUAGGUGAGGUAACGGCUCACCUAGGCGACGAUGCCUAGCUGGUCUGAGAGGAUGACCAGCGACACUGGAACGGAGACACGGGCCAGGCUCGUACGGGGGGAAGCUGGGGGGAAUAUACGAAAAUGGGCGCAUGCCUGCUGAAGCCAUGCCGGGGGUAUGGGGAAGGCCUUCGGGUGGUAAAUUACUUUCAGCGGGGAGGCGUUACCCGCAGAAGAAGCACCGGCUAACUCCGUGCCAGCAGCCGCGGUAAUAC
rnacentral:rRNA from 1 species